rnacentral:rRNA from 1 species
ACUUAAAUUGAAGAGUUUGAUCAUGGCUCAGAUUGAACGCUGGCGGCAGGCCUAACACAUGCAAGUCGAACGGUAGCAGGAAGAAGCUUGCUUCUUUGCUGACGAGUGGCGGACGGGUGAGUAAUGUCUGGGAAACUGCCCGAUGGAGGGGGAUAACUACUGGAAACGGUAGCUAAUACCGCAUAACGUCUUCGGACCAAAGAGGGG